rnacentral:rRNA from 1 species
CCUACGGGGGGCUGCCAAAGACUACUGUAUGGAUUGCUGUUUCUCGUGAUGAUAUUUGUUUUUUGGGUGGAACUAAUAGAAUUUAUUUUUGCAAAAGACAGAAAUAUCACAAAAUAUUUUACAAGACAUAAAUGGGUCGGCAUUGUGCUAAUUUGUGGUAUUGUUCUCACUUCAAUUUUUCUCUUGUUAAGUGGGUUUGAAAAAUUGCCAACAAACGAAUUGACCAACAGCGGGAAAAAAGAUAAUCGUCUGCCAAAUAUACUUUUGGUAACAAUCGACAGUUUGAAUGCAGAUCAUAUGUCACUUUAUGGUUACAAACGGGAUACGACUCCUUUCCUUUCCACACUUUCAGAAGAAUCACUAUUGGCACUUAACUCUUUUUCCAACGUUCAGGGAACGUCAGGCUCAAUAACCUCAAUACUCACGGGCAAAUACCCAACCGAUACCCCAGUAGUC